rnacentral:rRNA from 1 species
CUGGCGGCGUGCCUAAUACAUGCAAGUCGAACGGUCUUUCUAUGGAAGCUGCUUCACUGAGAAGAUAGUGGCGAACGGGUGAGUAACACGUGGGUAACCUGCCCAUAAGAGGGGGAUAACGAUCCGGAAACGGGUGCUAAUACCGCAUAGUUUUCUUGAUCGCAUGAUCGGGAAAGGAAAGACGGCCUUUGUGCUGUCGCUUAUGGAUGGACCCGCGGCGUAUUAGUUAGUUGGUGAGGUAACGGCUCACCAAGACGAUGAUACGUAGCCGACCUGAGAGGGUGAUCGGCCACAUUGGGACUGAGACACGGCCCAAACUCCUACGGGAGGCAGCAGUAGGGAAUCUUCCGCAAUGGACGAAAGUCUGACGGAGCAACGCCGCGUGAGUGAAGAAGGUUUUCGGGAAUCGUAAAACUCUGUUGUCAGAGAAGAACAAGUUGGAGAGUAACUGCUCCAGCCUUGACGGUAUCUGACCAGAAAGCCACGGCUAACUACGUGCCAGCAGCAGC